UUUAUACUCCCUCCGUCCCAAAAUUCUUGCCUUAAAUUUGUCUAAAUACGGAUGUAUCAAGUCAUGUUUUAGUAUUAGAUACAUCCGUAUCUAGACGAAUCUAAGACAAGAAUUUUGAAACGGAGGGAGUAAUAU
rnacentral:pre_miRNA from 1 species